rnacentral:rRNA from 1 species
AGAGUUUGAUCCUGGCUCAGGACGAACGCUGGAGGUAUGCCUCAUACAUGCAAGUCGAACGAGGCUUGGAGUGCUUGCAUUCCAGGCAAAGUGGCGCACGGGUGAGUAACGCGUGGGUAACCUGCCUUUAAGUCUGGGAUAACAUUGGGAAACCAAUGCUAAUACCGGAUAACACCGAUAUUCGCAUGGAUAUUGGUUGAAAGCUGCCGACUACUUUCGGGUAAGGUAGCGCUUUUAGAGGGGCCCGCGUCCUAUUAGUUAGUUGGUAGGGUAAUGGCCUACCAAGGCAGAGAUGGGUAGCCGGCUUGAGAGAGUGAUCGGCCACACUGGAACUGAGACACGGUCCAGACUCCUACGGGAGGCAGCAGUAGGGAAUAUUCCGCAAUGGGCGAAAGCCUGACGGAGCAAUACCUCGUGAGUGAAGAAGGCUUUAGGGUCGUAAAGCUCAGUCAGCAGGGAAGAAGGUCUUGUAUGAAAAUAUUGUACGAGAAUUGACGGUACCUGCAGAGGAAGCCACGGCUAAUUACGUGCCAGCAGCCGCGGUAAUACGUAAGUGGCGAGCGUUGUCCGGAUUUACUGGGCGUAAAGGACGCGUAGGCGGUUGAUCAAGUUGGAGGUGAAAACUCCGGGCUUAACUUGGAGCCUGCCUUCAAAACUGAUCAACUAGAGAAUUGGAGGGGAAAGUGGUAUUCCAGGUGUAGCGGUGAAAUGCGUAGAUAUCUGGGAGAACACCUAUGGCGAAAGCAGCUUUCUGGCCAAUUUCUGACGCUGAGGCGUGAAAGCGUGGGUAGCGAACAGGAUUAGAUACCCUGGUAGUCCACGCCGUAAACGAUGGGCACUAGCCGUGGGAGAUGACUACAUCUUCUGUGGCUAAGUUAACGCAGUAAGUGCCCCGCCUGGGGAGUACGGUCGCAAGAGUAAAACUCAAAGGAAUUGACGGGGGCCCGCACAAGCGGUGGAGUAUGUGGUUUAAUUCGAUGCAACGCGGAGAACCUUACCUGGGCUUGACAUCCGUAGCUAGCUAUAGAGAUAUAGUGUUCGGUGGUAACACAGACUACGUGACAGGUGGUGCAUGGUUGUCGUCAGCUCGUGUCGUGAGAUGUUCGGUUAAGUCCGGCAACGAGCGCAACCCUCGUCUUCAGUUGCCAGCGCGUAAUGGCGGGAACUUUGGAGAGACUGUCCCUACUGGGGAAGGAAGGUGGGGAUGACGUCAAAUCAGCAUGCCCCUUACGUCCAGGGCUACACACGUACUACAAUGGCCGGUACAAUGAGGAGCAAUACAGCGAUGUGGAGCAAAUCUCAAAAAGCCGGUCCAAGUUCGGAUUGGAGUCUGCAACUCGACUCCAUGAAGUUGGAAUCGCUAGUAAUCGUGGAUCAGCAUGCCACGGUGAAUACGUUCCCGGGCCUUGUACACACCGCCCGUCACACCACCCGAGUAGACUGCACCCGAAGUGGCUGACACAACCCGCAAGGGAGGGAGGUCCCUAAGGUGUGUUUUAUAAGGGGGGUGAAGAAGUAACAAGGUA